rnacentral:lncRNA from 1 species
CUGCACCCAGGAUCCGAACCGGUGAACCCCGGCUGGCAAAGUGGAAGUUAACCGCUGUGCCACCAGGCCAGCCCCCUGGAGUUUACUUUUCUUAAGUCACAAGAGGUCUGAAGGCUGAAUAAUGGCUUCCUGACAGAUGUGCAUGUCCUGAUCCCUGAAUCCUAUGGAUCGUUACCUUUCAAGGUAAAAGGAACUUGGUUGAAGAUCUUGAGAUGGGGAGAUAAUUUUGAAUUAUCCAGGUGGGCCCAAGGUAGUGACAAGUGUAUGAUCCAUAAAGAAGAUAUAGAAUCAUUUUUAUGUUUAAAGAGUAUGUAAAUGUUAUCAUCAUCAUUGUCCUCAUCACCAUCAUCAUCAUAAUGGGCACCCAGUUCACUGUGGAAGAGGGAUGGUGAGAGAGAAUGCUUGUAUAUUUCCCAACUGUGAAGAGAAUGCUUUAUGAGGAAAUGGCUGUUUUUUGUCAUCACUUGCUGGGCUAGAUCAGGUCCUCUUCUAUGACUUUUUAAAGACCUCUGUUCACACAGCUGCUUUGGCAAGUCAGGAAUCAAACUGACAGCCCAUUGGAAAGGCAUACCCUGUCACAAGUCUAAAGAGAAACAGAGUGACAGUUCCCAGGCUCAAGUGCAAGGCGCGCCGCUCAAUCUUCUUUGGCUGGCUAGGAUCUUGGUUGAUGCAGGGCGCCGAUGCCAGACAGCAGAGGGCCUGGAGUAACAAAAACAACGCCCCGCAAGCUCAUCCUGAACCAUCAAGGCAGGAAACACAGGCAGAAAUCCAAACUUCAUUAGAGCUGAAGAGAUGAAAUGUGAUAUGGAUCAAUGUUGGGCUCUGCUCCACGUCGUCACUCAGGGAGCCUGGCUUAUUCCCUUGUGUCACUCCACUAUCUUCUGGGACUUUGUUUCCCUCUGCAUUCAGCUACACAUAUGGGGAAAGUGAGAAAAUGUGGAGAAAGCAUACCCACUCUUAACUGCAUUCCCCGGAGGUGAUGCAGGUCACUUCUAUUUACAUUUCAUUGGCUGGAACUCAGUCCAGUGAUUCCUUCUAACUGCGGGGGAGGCUGGGAAAUGUAGUUUGGUGGUGGGACCAGAAGAAGCAGAGAGCUCUCUGCCACAAUGUGCAAUCAUUUUCAAAUAAAUAUAAAGAAAUAAAAUGGGCUUGAUGCUAAAAACAAUAUAAAACAUAUUUAAUAUUUACAUUCUUACAGUGCAUACUGU